GCCAGGCGUGGUGGUGUGUGCCUGUAAUCCCAGGUACUCAGGAGGCUGAGGUGGGAGAAUCACUUGAACCCGGGAUGCAGAGGUUGCAGUGAGCCAAGAUUGGGCCACUGCACUCCAGCCUGGGUGACAGAGUGAGGCCCUACCUCAG
rnacentral:SRP_RNA from 1 species